rnacentral:lncRNA from 1 species
GGUUAUCGGGCGCGGGGGGAGGACUGAGGCUGGCAAGGUGAGAGCUCGGAUUGCCGGAGUGCCGGGAGGAAGCUGCCAUUUGUGAGCUGUGAGUGACGAGCGUGUAAUUUCAGCACCACUAAUGGACACUUAUUUUUCAUCAACUGGAGGAAAGAUGGGAAGGCGGAAGGAAACAAAUGAUCAUUACGGGUUAACCAACACAGAAGACAGAAGGAGUAUCAGCAGGGAUGACAUGGAACUAAUGCCACACAGAGAAGCAACCAGUGUGCCCAAAACAUCUUGGCAAAACUGAUGUAUUCCCAGGCUGUGGGGAGAUUACAGUACAAGUUCCUAUGAGAAUAUAUUGCAGACUGUGUGCUAGGAAAGCACCUCCAUUGGGGAAAAUUUGCCUGUGGAACGAGAAAUACAUAAGCAGAAACUGGGAACUGAAGAAAUGUUGUUAAGGUCAGCAGUGGGAUUUUUUUGAGAGUGUUUGUUUUUUUCUGGUGUGACAGUGGACCACCAAAACAACCUGUGGGGCUGCUGAGGUACAGUUUUGAAGGUGGUGUGAGAUUUAUUGCCAGGCUGGCAAAUCCUCGUGACAUCUUUCAGGGCCAAUGGGAAUUCAAAGUGUACUUGGUGCUUUUAUUCUGCUGAAAGACACACUGCAGAAAAUAAUAAUCAGCAUAUAACACUGUUUCAUUCCAUUUAAAUUUCUCUGCCUUUGCUAAUGUUUGCUUAAUGUGUACUAGCGCAGUACAUGCAUUGUAGAGUAACCAUUACUUCAAUUAUGAGACAUAAUAGGAAGUCACUAAAAGAUUUUUUAAUGGUAUUUUAUGUUAGUAUUUAGAUAUAUUAAGAAAUAAUGCUUUUUCAGUUACUUUUGGCACAACAGACUAAAUUGCAAUAAGAAAAUAACUGAUUAAAGCAGGCUGAUGGUCUUCUGAUUUUACCAUGCAAAAUUCUUCUUUCACAGAUUGCCAGUCAGAAACAAUGUUCAACAUGGAGAGAGCAGGAAGAAGCUUAUACAGAAAAAGAGAGAGAUCCUGAUGGUCCUUCACGAUCCCUUCUCAGACCUGGAAGAUGUAGAUGUGACUGCAAGAUAUCAUCAUCGUCAUCGUGGUGGUCACUGUCCUCGUCAACGGAACAACGCCCAACAACCCACCUCUACUGAAGAGCAACGACUGAACUAUGAACCACGCUGGACCCAUGGUGGUGACAAUCUCCCUCUUGCUCCCUCUAGAGACUCCUUGCUCCUAUUUCCUAUCUUUUCUACUGCCCUUCUUUCCUUCCCCAUCACCCUAAUUUGUACGUAUGAAGACUCCUUGCUUCUAUUUUCUAUCUUUUCUAUCGCCUUUCUUCCCUUCCCCAUUGCCCCAGUCCAUAAUAGUGUCUGUCCUCCCCUUUCCCCAUCUCCCUUAUUAACAUUUGUAAUAAACUGGUUGGAC